GCUAGCUUAAAUGGCGCUGCGUUUGCUUUGGCAAGAGAGAAGCUAACAUGACAAAGCAUCGUAAAAUAACUGAGUGUGUAUUGGCAGGCAGACAGUCUUCAGAGUGAGAGCUGUGCCUGUGCUGAAGUGUCCCAUUGAGUUCGCUGAAGUGGACUUAUCUCCGACCAUCCCUCCUCGCAUCUCACUUUCUCCUGGAUCCAGACAGGGCUGAGCGCCACACUCCUCACACCACAGAGGCCUCUCUCUUCUGGGCUCAGUCCCACACUCAGACCCCCUCAGCCACACAUCCUCCUUACAGUUGGCAGAGUGCUGCGUGAUACUCAAGGUCGUGGGGGCAGCAGGCCAAUCAACGCACUCCAGACAUCCCUCUCCCUAGCAACAUUUUCCAGCUCUUCCUGGGGUACCCCAAGGCGUUCCCCGGCCAGAUGAGAUAUGUAAUCCCUCCAGCGUGUUCUGGGUCUGCCCAGGGCCUCCCACCGGUGGAACGUUCCCAGAACAUCUCUAAUGGGGGCGCCCAGGAGGUAUCCCGACCAGAUGCCCGAGCCACCUCAACUGACCCCUUUCGACAUGAAGGAGCAGCGGCUCUACUUCGAGCUCCAAGCUCCUUAUCCUAUGUGUAAGGCUGAGCCUAGCCACCUCAUGGAAGCUCAUUUUGGCUGCUU